GCACUGCUGAAGAAUCGAAUAAUAGGACGAAACGGCUGUCCAGUAC
rfam:Schistosoma mansoni strain Puerto Rico chromosome W, complete genome